rnacentral:rRNA from 1 species
GACGGAGGGUGCAAGCGUUGUUCGGAUUGACUGGGCGUAAAGGGCGUGUAGGCGGUCGGCCAAGUCUGAUGUGAAAGCCCGAGGCUCAGCCUCGGAAGUGCGUCGGAAACUAGUCGGCUGGAGCGCGAUAGAGGAGGGUGGAAUUCCUGGUGUAGCGGUGAAAUGCGCAGAUAUCAGGAGGAACACCGGUGGCGAAGGCGGGUCUCUGGGCCGAUACUGACGCUGAGGAGCGAAAGCGUGGGGAGCGAACAGG